rnacentral:rRNA from 1 species
AAUCAACGCUGGCGGCGUGCCUCAGACAUGCAAGUCGAACGCGAAAGUUUCCUUCGGGAGACAAGUAGAGUGGCGCACGGGUGAGUAACACGUAGGUAAUCUACCUUUGGAUGGGGAAUAACAACCGGAAACGGUUGCUAAUACCGCAUAAUGCAGCGGCACCUAAUGGUGACAGUUGUUAAAGCGGGGGAUCGAAAGACCUCGCGUCUGAAGAGGAGCCUGCGGCGGAUUAGCAGUUGGUAAGGUAAUGGCUUACCAAGGCUACGAUCCGUAACCGGCCUGAGAGGGCGGUCGGUCACACUGACACUGACAUACGGGUCAGACUCCUACGGGAGGCAGCAGUCGGGAAUUUUGGGCAAUGGGCGAAAGCCUGACCCAGCAACGCCGCGUGAA